AUCCAGCUGACAAGUCCCAAAUAGGACGAAAUGCGCAUCUUGAAU
rfam:Trichobilharzia regenti genome assembly, scaffold: TRE_scaffold0060091